UCAGCUAGUUGGUAGGGUAAUAGCCUACCAAGGCUACGACGGAUAGCUGGUCUGAGAGGACGAUCAGCCACACUGGGACUGAGACACGGCCCAGACUCCUACGGGAGGCUGCAGCAGGGAAUAUUGCGCAAUGAGCGAAAGCUUGACGCAGCGACACCGCGUGUGGGAUGACGGAUCUAGGUUUGUAAACCACUUUCAGGAGGGAAGAAAAUGACGGUACCUCCACAAGAAGCCCCGGCCAACUACGUGCCAGCAGCCGCGGUAAUACGUAGGGGGCGAGCGUUGUCCGGAUUUAUUGGGCGUAAAGAGCUCGUAGGCGGUUCAACAAGUCGGUCGUGAAAGUUCAGGGCUCAACCCUGAAAUGUCGAUCGAUACUGUUGUGACUAGGAUACGGUAGAGGUGAGUGGAAUUCCGAGUGUAGCGGUGAAAUGCGUAGAUAUUCGGAGGAACACCAAUUGCGAAGGCAGCUCACUGGGCCGCUAUCGACGCUGAGGAGCGAAAGCUAGGGGAGCAAACAGGAUUAGAUACCCUGGUAGUCCUAGCUGUAAACGAUGGAUACUAGACGUAGGAAUUGGAUUAACGAUUUCUGUGUCGUAGCUAACGCGUUAAGUAUCCCGCCUGGGGAGUACGGUCGCAAGACUAAAACUCAAAGGAAUUGACGGGACCCCGCACAAGCGGCGGAGCAUGCGGCUUAAUUCGAUGAUACCCGUAGAACCUUACCUGGACUUGACAUAUAGGGAAAAGUUAUAGAAAUAUAAUGUGCAUUAGCGCCCUAUACAGGUGGUGCAUGGCUGUCGUCAGCUCGUGUCGUGAGAUGUUGGGUUAAGUCCCGCAACG
rnacentral:rRNA from 1 species